rnacentral:lncRNA from 1 species
ACAGUUAAUGGAGUUACUAUAACAGUUAACAAGAUUGAUAAUUCCGAUAGUAAAUAAAACAAUGCGGAAGAAAACAUAGAAAACAAAUUUAACUCCCAAAAGAUCUGGGGUCACGUGUUUAAUGCCUUUUAAUACAACCGAAUGAUAAGUACUCUAAAUACAUAAGUCUAGGAUGAGAAAAUAUAAAUAGAUAAGGGGAGAAGUCGGGUCCUGCGAACGCCAGGAAGCUACCUCGACAACUCCAAAGUAACUCUGAAAGACAGCAAACCGCUAAACUAAGCUCCUGACGCAUCUGAAUCUGCACAUAUGGUGUAGGGAGUAAAGUGAGUACGUCCAACUCAAUGAGUAAUAAGCAUAUACAAUGACUGAAGAUGGGAAUCCAUGAAAGUACCACAAUGUAAAACUAUGACUAACAAUUUUGCAUUAUUAACGGUGAAAUGGAAACAACACAGAAUCAGAUAAAGCAGAUAAACAUCAAAAGCAUGAAUGUAAUGCAAUGCACAUGAUCGCUGCAGUGUGCAGCCCGAUCUAUUUGGGUACCCGCGCUCAUUGUAGGGGUUCAGACUCCGGAGGGGCUUCUACAGCCGAAGCGCAAUAUAUAGUAUCAUUGCUGCGGCGUGCAUCCCGAUCCGCACUCAGUCCAAGAAAAUGCAUAUGAGUCACACAGCAAAGUCAAAUUAUAGUUCAUUGUUCCAAUUAUUAUGAAAAAUAUAGUUAAGUUUUUAAAACCUUAGGAAUAUGACAAAGCAUUUCGAAACAAUGUUUAAAACUCAGGACUGAAAUCGUAUAGCAUGCUAAGCAUCAUGGAAACAGUGAUAAUGAUCCCCAAGGGAUUCAAAUAGUCAGCACACAUCCCAAAUAUAUGAUAACAAUCCAAGCAGGAUGUUUACGAAUCAGCCUAUAGUCCAAAACACAGAUCGGAUGCCACUCGAGGCAGACUAAGCCAUAAUCCCCAAUCAUAAACGACCCCACACUCAUCAUGGAGUACGUGUCUCACCUCAAAAUAGCGUCACAGUGUGAUAUAGCGGGGUUUUACACCCUUAGGUCAUCAUCAACAUCUAUUACUCACCUCUAGCCGGCUAAGGACUAGCUUGCAAUGCCCUUUCCUCUCAAAUCGACCUACUUGUGCGUCGAAUCUAGCUAAAACCACAACGAAUACAUUACAAUAGGCUAAUAGAACACAACCCAAUCGAAAAGACUUGAAAACACCCAAAAAGCACGAAGUUGGUAAAACUUGAGCCCCGAACCCAAUUCUCGAAAAAUAACAAAAUUUACAUCACCGGAUUCCUCGUCUUUCCACAAGUCCAUAUAUAAAAUUUACAAAAAUCGAAGUUCAAAUGUUUCCUCAAAUUCCAAAUUCUCAUUUCAAAACCCAAGCCCUAGUUCUUCAAUUUUUCACCCAAGAAUUACCUCCAUCAAUUCCUGUCAAAUCCCUCUUUAAUUUCUACCAAAAACCUCUCAAGGUGGUGUCAUACCCCUUUAUUUGUUACACAAACUUCACUAAACCCUCUUAAAUAAAUAAAAGGAUUUUAAUAAAAGCUUGGAAAGGGUUUUUCGAUUGCAAAGUGACAAAAAUUUGUUUCAAAAGGAUUAACUCAGAGUCGCCACCUGACAUUUGAUUUCGGUUUGCCAGGACACCGGUUUUUAGACAAUAUUUUUCCUUUUAAAACACUUGAACUCAAAACUAAGUCCGCACCAGAGAUUCAGGUAAGGGGAUUUACUUGACCCGGGGAGAAGGUGUGAGGCACUCCCCAAGUCUCGUAACUAGUACGGUUGCGUACUCGAUUUAGUUGGCUUUUAAAAUAUUCAAGUUGAGGCAAGAAAAACACACAAAAGAAAGUAAAGAAUCAAAAAUGUUCGAGGUCAUCCCCACCUAGUAAAGAAAUUGAAAAGAAAAAGAAAAAAAAUCCUAAGCUAACAUAUACUACAACUUCUCCGCCAUGCUCAUCAAGGCCUCCAAAAUGUUUACAUGGUUCUUUGGGUCAUACCCCGGAUAAUAAUAUUUACAUACUUCACGGGACAUUCCCCGGAUGAAUUCAUCUAAGGGACAACCUCUCACCUUACGCUCAAACAUUAUAAAUUAAACUAAAUCCUACGGGUUUGCCUACCCAAAUGUGAUCGGCCUAAGCAUGCUCCUAGUGAACAAAAUAAUAAGAGCAAAAUAAAUAAAACUAAAGAAGUAAAAAUUAAUUUCAUGCUCACUCUCUUUUUAACAUUUCAUUUUUUAUUAGACCGAGCCCGACACUUAAAGCAUGUGAAUAAAUUAAACACUAACGGGCUAAGUCUUUUCCCUUUUCCCACUGUGUAGUUCUAUCCCAAAAAAUAGAAUACUUCAUAUGCCGAACAUGACAAGAUGAGACACCUCAACAUACAAGCAUCCAAGCAUAAGAAAUGGGAACAACAGUAACAGAAUUAAAAAGGUGAAUUAAAAUAUGUUACUGGACAUCUUAUUUUAUAUUCAAUUCAAAUAUUUAGUGGAUUAUGAAGAAUGAAAAUGAAAUCAAUUCCUCAUGGUAAAAAUACAACCAUUAGAUUAACAAACAGGUUAAAAUCUGAACACAUAAAGCCUUGCACCAAAUUUGAAUAAUUUUAUCACGAAUACAUUCAAAUCAGCAAGUAACUAAAGGAAGGGAACAAGAGAGUGACCUUUUACUGAAUUUGAAAUUCAAAUGCCUAGAUCGCUUUGAAGCUCAUAAGCGACAAGAAAGCGAACAAGACCUCGGCAGGAGACAGACUGACCGAACUCGAACACUCUUAUCGAUCAAGGAAAGAAACGGAAACUACUUUCAUAUAUAUAUUAGUUUUUUUUAAUAUUUUGGUUUAGUUCCAAAACAAGAUGAAGCAGAUCCUUUGUUUUUCAGUCACUGAAUGUUCCAUACAGGUCUGCGAGCAACAGAGAAAUGAAGCAGUAGCUCGUUUGGUGAACGUAAGGUCUGGUAGUCGUUGUAGGAGUGGAGUCGCGAUGGGGAUGGGUGGUCGACGGUAGUGGUUGGUUUGGUUUCUAUUGAGUGAUGGCUGAUGGUGUUCUCUCGUGUAUUAUGGUGCAAGAAGAAGAAGUUAAAUGGUGGGGUUGUUUUUCAUCGUUCAUAUGCGUGUCCCCUGAACUGAUGGCUGCUCUUGUAGUUAAAGAAGAAGGUCCUCUUUAGGGUUAGGGUGUGAGGGUUUAAAUAACAAAGGGGUAAUGGGUUAGGAGAUGGGUUGUGCAAUUUGGGCCUCUUGCAAGAAUACCAUUUGGGCUAAAAAAUCCUACAAAAUUGGGCUAAGAAAAAAAUGCUAAAAUUUUAAUUUACUUCAAAAAAUACUUAUAAGAAGAUAUAAACUAAUUCUUAAUAAACCAUUAAUAUUAAAAUAAAACAUAAAAGCUAAAAAUAAAAUUUGAAUCUAUUUUUGGUAUUUUCAAGGAUUAUAUUAAAAUAAAAAUAGGUUUAAAGUAAUAUAUCCUCCUAAAAAUAUCUAAUACUGGUUAAAUUGAAAAGUUAAAAUAUUCUUUUUGUAUUUUUUUAUUUUAUGAUAAAAAUAAGGCAAAAGAGUCAAAAUUAGUUAAAAAAUCAUAUUAAGCCUUAAUAAAAUAUUUUACGCUAAAAUAGAUAAAAUUUCAGGAAGGGUCAAAAAUCACGUGUCUAAUGCUGCCCCUCUUUGACUGGAAAUACGAAGUAUUUUUAGACAAAGAAUGACUAGACAUGUUUUUUGAUCCCAACCUUAUUUGGAGAGACUAAGCUUAAGAGAAAAGGGAAUAGAAUGUGACGGAGCCCUUGUAUCUGAUCUGCCUACAUAUACUUGGCUAUAAAGGAAUCAGGCCACGUGUAGUUCAGAAGUGAGAAUAGUGGAGUGUACCGAGGUGGAGAGGUGGUCGAGGUACCGUUCCGUCGAGGUUCCGGUCCACGAUCCUGUUGUUACAUCAAAAUCAAAAAGGAAAAAUACUAACUUAGCCUGUCAACUAUGAGUUACAAAAUUCCUAUCUAUAAAUCUUCUGAAGUUAGAUCUUGAAUCUUGAAUAGUUCUUCAUGCAGACUUCAGAUCUGAACCUUGACGUUCACUAGCUGCAGGUGCUAGUUCAUUUUUCUUCAGCUUUUUGGAUCAGAACCGGACACGCCAUGCUUGUGACUUUAGUCAUUUCUUUAUCAAUCCAUUUCUUUUCUUGGCUUCUGCAUUUUGGAUUCACUCUUUUCUGUAUUUUUCUUCUUUUUCUGCUACUUCUAACUUGUAUUGAAUUCUGAAAUAACUUCCCUUGUUCUCCAGGUGGGUGCCUGCUACUGACUUGAAACUUGAAAACUCUGAAAUAAACUCUGAAAUAUCUUCCCUCAUUUUUCAGGUGGGCGCCUGCAAUCAAAACAACAAAGCAAACAAAGUUUUCUUCCCCAGUUUACACUAGGAAGAUUUUUGAGUUGUUAGAAAAAUAGUAAACCACAUAUAUUAUUGAUGCAAUGAUGAGAGUAAGCUAAAGACUCGACUAGGAUGUGCGUCUCAUGUGAGUUAAACCAAGAAAUUUUGACUAGCAAGUGUGUCUGCAAAGAAUAGAACCUGAAUGACCCAAAUUAGGAAGUGCGUCUCCUGAGGAUGAAACUUGAAUGAACCAAAAAUUAGGAAGAGCGUCUCUUAGGGUUAAUACUUGAAUAACUCAAACUAGGAAGUGCGUCUCCUAGAGGUGAAACUUCAAUAAAAAACUAGGAAGUGCGUCUCCUAGGAAUGAACUUAAAUGACCCAACUAAGAAAUGCGUCUCCUAGGGGUAUUUAGGAAGUGCUUCUGCUAAAACAAAUAUAACUUGAAGGCCCAGACUAGGAAGUGCGUCUCCUAGGGGGUAAAAUUUCGAUGACUCAAACUAGGAAGUGCGUCUCCUAGGAAUGAACUUAAACAAAUCAAACUAUGAAGUACGUCUCCUAGUGGUAAAAUCUCAACGACUUAAACCAGGAAGUGCGUCUCCUAAAAAUGAAAAUAUAACUUGAAUGACCCAGGCUAGGAAGUGCGUCUCCUAGGGGUGAAAUUUCAAUGGCUAAAACUAGGAAGUGCGUCUCCUAAAAAUGAAUUUGAAUGACCAGAGCUAGGAUGUGUGUCUCCUAACAAGUAUAAUCCAAAAGACCCCUACUAGAAGUGCGUCUCCUAACGGGUAAAACUUCGAUGACUCCAACUAGGAUGUGCAUCUCCUAGGGAUGAAUUUGAUUGACUAUCAUUAGGAAGUGUGUCUCCUAAAAAUAAAAAUAUAACUUUAAAUAACAAGCCUAGAAAGUGCAUCUCCUAGGAGUAAAAUCUCAAUUUAGGAAGUCCGUCUCCUAAAACAAAAUAUAACCUGAUGGACCCAGACUAGGAAGUGCGUCUCCUAGGGAUGAAGCUUCAAUUAUUCAAACUAGGAAGUACGUCUCCUAUGAAUGAACUUACAUGACCCAAAGUAGGAAGUGUGUCUCCUAGGGGUAAAAUUUGAAUUUAGGAAGUGCGUCUCCUAGAAAAAAAAUAUAACAUGACAGACCCAAACUAGGAAGUGCAUCUCCUAUGGGUGAAACUUCAAUAACUCAAACUAGGAAGUGCGUCUCCUAGGAAUGAACUUACAUGAUCCAAACUAGGAAGUGCGUCUCCUAAGGGUAAAAUUUUAAUUUAGGAUGUGCGUCUCCUAAAACACAAUAUAUCCUGCAAGACUUAAACUAGGAAGUGUGUCUCCUGAAGGGGGGUAAAUUUUAAUGAUUCAAAUUAGGAAGUGUGUCUCCUUAGAAUAAACUUAAAUGAACCAAAUAGGAAGUGCGUCUCCUAGUUGUAAAAUCUCAAUUUAGGAAGUGCGUCUCCUAAUACAAAAUAUAACCAGAAGGACCCAAACUAGGAAGCGCAUCUUCUAUGGGUAACAUUUCAAUUUAGGAAGUGCGUCUCCUAAACAAAAUAUAACUUGAAAGGCCCAGACUAGGAAGUGCUUCUCCUAUGGGUAAUAUGUGAUCUUCUCAAUAGCCUUUGCUCAAGCAGAAUUGGGACAUUACACCUGAAAAAUUCAAGCUUUGAUAUGAACAUAGCCUUCAUUCCUUAAUAUGUGAUCUUCUCAAUAGCCUUUGUGCAAGCAGAAUUGGCACAUUACACCCAAAAAAUUCAAGCUUUGAUAUGAACAUAGCCUUCACUCCUGUUUCAGACAAAGAAAAUUUGUGAGUUUAAAACAUGGUGGUUAGUUUGUGGCCUUGACCUUGAAAGAGGCAGCUUCAGCACUUGCCAAGAUAAUUUUGCAUUGUGCUCAUGAAUUGACAUUUACUGAAUCUUUGCAUUUUACAUUAAUCCCAAAGCAUGUUGAGUGUUACCAACUCAGUGCACAUACUGUUCUUUUCUUACAUAUGCCUCUUUGAUGUGCUAGACAGACUCUGCUUUGUGCAAUUGGAAAGCUGGUAGUAGAUUUUGAAAUCAUUUCUUUACUUGUUCUAAAAAAAAGACUUAAGAAGGGACUCAAGCAAACAUGAGGAACAAAAUAAAGGACAAUGGAAAGAGAUGAUACCUAAUAAGAAAAUUACAAAGUAGAAACUUAUCAAGUGUGGAUACCAACUCUAAUGACCAUGACAUGCACCUUUGGAUUAGGUGGCUUAAUCUCUUAAGAAAGUCUAAUAUUUAGCUCUUGUUUUGCUUCUAAGCUGUGAAACUGGGCUUCAUCACUCCAAUUGUCCUAUUUGACCCACAAUCCUCAGUUGACUUGUAGUGCCCUGAAGGGUUUUCACCAUCAAGCCUCUCUCAUUUUUCUUUUUUUUUAACUCAUAGUCGCCUUACGGUGCCCAUAAGGGUUUUCACCGCUAAGACUCUAUCAUUUUAUUAUUUUCUCUCUAUGCUAAGACCAAAGGUAUUACCCAUGAUGCUGGAAGAUCAUACUCUCACCACACACUUGAUUUGGCAUCCUCAAAGAUUGGUCAGAAGGUCUUUCUUUGGACACGUAAUGUAGGCUUUUGGACAGGGUUAGAAAAAAAGGAUGGUAUGAAGGCUCAAAAUAAUUUAAGAUGAAAAUGGUUCAAAAUUACAACUUUUGGAAUCAGGCCUUUUUGGAAAAAUUAAAACUUCUGCCCCAAUUUCUUGGAGUUUGGGGGAUUUUUUGAAUUUUUGCUUUGAUGGGAUUUCUAAGGAAACCUGCCCAGUAUUGAUUUCGGGGAUACUGAAAUAUUUUAUUUCGUGUGACCGAACCGUGAGGCUGCCUACGUAUCUUGUGGUAACAAGAAUCAGUUCAAACGUAGUUCAAACAACAAAGUUGUUUUUUCCUUUUUAUCUUUCUUUUUCUCUUUUUAUUUUCUUUCUUUUCUUUUUUAUUCCUUUUUCUUUUCUCCUUCUUUUUAUCCUUUUUUUCUUUUUCUUUUCUGCUUCUUUUUUUCCUUUUUUUCUUUUUCUUUUCUAGUUCCUAACUUUAUUUUUGAUUCUAAAAGAGGGGUAUGAAAUAAAAAUUAAGGCUCAAAAUGGGUAACAAAUGGUAAAAGUGUUUGGGUAGCAGAAUAAAAUAUCUUCGUCAUACCAAACUUAAAAAUGCCUAGUACAAGCAUGCAAUUGAAGAUAAGCAAACAAAUCAUACAUAGUAUCUAUUCAUGGCAUCCACACAUACACAAAGUGCCAACGGGCAAUACCUUUAUCCCAAUGAAUGAUCAUUGCUAGUUCGAAGCAGACUUGACUCAACCUUAUCUUAAUGGAAGAAUGCCUUUUAGCACUUUCCAGUUCGAAGCAGACUUGACUCAACCUUAUCUUGAUGUAGAAGAAUGCCUUUUAGCACUAACCGAUUUACCUCAAACUGCUUGAGAGACAUUUCCUUGUUGUAUGCUCUUAUAAACAUCUUCUUUUUCCAAAAUAAUUGCCUCAGUUUCACUCAAUUCAAGCUCCAGCAUUGUCAAAAUGCAUGAAUCUUUACAUUUUCCUCAAAAUCCUCUUUUUAUCAUAUUCAAAAAUGUGCCAUUGUUUCAUGAUAAGACUAACUUUCAAGAUUAAGCUGAGAAUUAUCCGUGCAUGUCAUGUCACUAGAAUUAGCAUGAAAAGAACUAUAAAAUGAAGAAUGGCCUAAACAAAACCGACUAGAAUUAACAGAAAAAAGGAGAUUGCAAUAGACAGAUGAUGAAAAAGGGUUUGCACAAGACAAACAAAAUAGACAUGUGUUACAACUGGAACAACCCUAAAUAACACUAGACGAGUUACUACAAACUAAACGAACUAGACAAAACGAGAAGAAUAAGAGUUUGAGCCACGAGACAAUAUCCAAAUUAAAAUCCUGAAAUAAACCGAACAAACAAGAAAUGACAACAAAAUAAACUACCAAAACUCCUCGCUGCCUAGCCGAGAAAGGAGUGUCUUUUCAAUCGCCAAGCUCGACGUCUUAGCCACUUGAUUGCACAUCAAAAUUUCUAGUACUUUCACCAAUUUCCAUAUCAUUACCUUCAGCCAGCAAGUUUCCAAGAGCAUUCUCAUGCUCCAUGUCAACAUGCAUCUUCCCCAAAAAGCGUGCAUCAUCAUGUGUGGGUAAAGGAUUAUGUGCAAUGUUCUGGGUGUCACUGUCCUAGACCAUAAUUAUCACUUCUUGAAUCAUUCUUUCUAUCUCCCUUUUCAAAGAACAACAAUCUUCAAUGAUAUGCCCUUGGACAUUAGAGUGCUACAUGCACCGCACAGUAGGAUCAAAACCUUUUGCAUACGGGUCUGGGGUAUAGCCGAGGAGCGGUUCAAUAAGUCCAGAUGUUUCAAAUUUUCAAACAAACUUGUGUAGGAUUCUCUGAUUGGAGUGAAAUAAUUUCUUUGCCUUUGUUCCCCUCGAUGCCCCUGUUUCCUAGGGUUUUUGGGUGCUCGAAAAUGUUGUGAAGGAGAAGGAGUAUUAUGCGGUGCUGGUGCUCGCCACAAGGAGUGACCCAUUGGUUGAACAAAUGAUUGGGGGUUGUUCGAGGGAUAAUGCUGAGAUGGAUUAUGUGGAGCCCGAUGAUAGGUUUGGACUUAGGGUCGGCGUCGAGUGUGAGUAUAUUGGUGAGGUGGACCCUUUGGGCCAUGUCGUGAUCCCGAGACAACCAUGGCAACAUCAUCAUGUUUCUUCUGACUCAGCAAGCUUCCUAUGUCGUUCUCAAUUGCCUGUGUUGUGGCUUUCAAGGCAGAAUAGCUCAUGAUCUUGCUCGACUUGAGCCCUUCUUCCACCAUUUCUCCCAUCUUCAACACAUUAUUGAAAGACUUAACAAUGGCUAAGAUCAAGUGGCUAUAGUAAGUGGGCUCUAGGGAUCGAAGAAUGUAUUUAACCAUCUCGUCUUCCUCCAUCGGAGGAUUGACUCGUGCAGGUAGCUCCCUCAAUCAGAACCCAUAUUCUCUAAUGCUAUCACUAGGUUUCUUUUCCACGUUGGUCAAAGAUAGGCAAUCCAGGACGAUGUCUAUGUUGUAUUGAAAAUUUUGAGCAAAAGCAUGAGCCAAAUCAUCCCACGUGUACCAUCCGCUGGUGUCCUGGCGGGUAUACCAUUCUAGAGCUGCCCCACUCAGACUAUGGCUCAAGUACGCCAUCAGUAAUUCAUCUUUUCUCCCAGCACCUAUCAUCUUACUGCAAUAACCCCUCAGAUGGUCAAUAGGAUCCCCAUGUCCAUCAGACAAAUCAAACUUGGGCAUCUUGAACCCGACAGGAGAUUGGACAUCAAGGAACAAACAUAAAUCUUUAUAAGCAACAAUCACCUGGCUUCCUAGCCCUUGCAUGUUUCUCAAUGAUUGCUCCAGACUCUUUACCUUCCUAAAUAUCUCCUCCUGCUUCGCGUUCUUGGGCGGUUUCUCAGUUUCAACAUGAGUAUCAAGGUGGGAAGUAUAGGAAUAAGGAUCCGGGACAUUGAAAGUGGGUUCCGGGGCAUAAUAUUAGGUAUCUGGGGGCCGGGAAUGCGGUAGUUUUGACUGGUGGAACAUGAAAAGUUUCGGAGGAAGUGCCAAGGUAAUUUUGAUAAGGGGUAAAGCAUGUGUGUGUUGUGGCGAGAGAUCAAUGGUAUUGGGCAUCUGGGAUUGUGAGAGUAGCGAGAUAGUUUCAGGGUGUUCAGUGUAGUUAUUGGGGAAUGAAGGUGGAGGAUGCCCCCUAAUUCAAGACUGAUGCAUUUCUGCCAUCUGCUGUUUCAGCCUAAUCAACGGUAUUUGGCAUCUGGGAUUGUGAGAGUAGAGGGAUAGUUGCAGGGUUUUCAGUAUAGUUAUUGGGGAAUAAAGGUGGAGGAUGCCCCCUGAUCCAAGACUGAUACAUUUCUGCCAUCUGUUGUUUCAACCUUUAGACCUCCUCCUUUAAUUCAGAUUCCGACCCCACAAUCUCCUUCGAGGGGUCGGCAACUGUUGUAUCCAUGUCUUUGAUAGCCAUGGUUUUCUUGCUUUUUGACCUUGUGUUGUAUGGACGAAUCACCAAAGUGCCACAAACUAACCACCACCCUCUGUUAUAAUAAUGAUGGAAGUAACAAAGGAGAGCAAAAAAUAGCUAACGGGUUAGCGUUAGAGCAUUUAGCAGAUAGAAAUACCACAUUGUGUGCCAUGCCUUGGCAACAAUUAACGGUUCUAGAAUGGCUUCGAGGGUACAAAAGUCAUAUGACAUCAUCCCAAUUUCACUCUUUUUGCCUCAUUUCCUUCCUCUUCAUCCUCUUGCUUUCUAACAUCGAUUGAUUUGUCAUUCAUAUCACCCUCUUUUCUUUCUGAUUAUCGCUUCAUUUUUUCACAUUUCUCAUGCCCACAAUUUCAUCUUUUUUUUUCUUUUUUUCUUUUUUUUUUAAAAAAAAUGAUUCGAUCGAACCCUAUGUAGGUUGCCUACGUAUCAUGUCCCUCAUAAAUCAGAUCAAGCAAAGUUCUUGAAUAAUUGAUGGAUAAAUUAAACUAAAAUAAAAAUCUUUUUGGAUUUUUCAUUUAUAAUAAUAAUUUUCUUUUAUUUUUCGAAUACAAAAUUGGAAGUAAUAUAACAAAAGACUCGAUAUUACUGUACAAGACUAGAAAGUUAAGACAAUAUGACAGACUAAAAACAUAAAAAUAUCUAUUAUCAGCUCCUAAAUGCAGUGGUACUGGGGUAUUUAUCAUGCUCGAACUCUGGUAAAUGAAUCCUUACCUGAAUGAGAAAAAUAAGACCAAAUAGAUCAGAUGACUAGAGACACUAUGUGAGACCGCACCCCAUAUAGGACACAUGCACGACAAGAUUAGGCUAUUAUUGAAAAUUAACCUAUACGACCAAGAGUGGCCAUUACUGCAAACUCAACAAAAAUGACCUCAUGGACAUGGCAAAUGACUAGCUAAGACUUUCAUGGAUUCAAACUCCUAAUAUCAUGGCCCAAAAAUUAAUUUGCAGAAAUAAUCCAUUUUGUAAAAAUGGCCGAUAUGGCAAGAAGUGGCUAAAGAUGCAAACUCAAAAAGGCAAGACCUUAAAAUAAUAUGACAUCUAGCUGUAGACUCAAAAUCGUAAGACAUGGGUUAGUGAACCACUUUUGCGAAAAUUGCCCUAUUUUGCAAGAAUGAUCGAUGUUGCAAAAAAUGGCUAGACAUGCAAGAUUUGGCUGAGAUUCCACAAAGCCAAGAACCUAAGACACUAGGAAGACCAGACUCUAUGUGGGUUGCCUACGUAUCUCACCCUGGGAGACGAUAAUCGGGUUCGCGCAGUUCGGGAAGAUUAAAUAUAGGAUAGAAUUAAAAAUAAUGCAUCUAAUUUGAAAAAAAAAAUCUUUUUGAAAAAAAUGAUGAAAAAUAUAAAAUCUUUUUGGAAUUUUUUUCUUUUUUUUAAAAUAUUUUGUAAAGUGAUGAAAAAUGUAAAAUCUUUUUUGGGAUUUUCAUUUUAUACUUUUUUGAGUUUUUGGAAAAUAAUGGGAAAAUAUAAAAUCUUUUUUGGAUUUUUCAUUCUAAUUUUUUUUUGAAAUUUUGAAAAAUAAUGGAAGAGUGUAAAAUCUUUUGGAUUUUCUUAUUUUCAUUUUUUUUAUUUUUGGAAAAUCAUGAAAAAAAAAUACUGGUGGGCCCUACUUUCUUUAUUUUUCACCUUUCUUUCAUAACAUUGGUUUGUCAAAUAACCUUUUUACCCUCAAAGAUGCAACAUUUAGCACAUAGGAUGAUUAAAUAUCAUUUUGGGCCAUAAGAUCAUUUUUUACAUAAUUUAGAUAGGCCUCCUAUAACAGGACACGGUGCCUAGAACCGAACCCUGCUAGGUUUCAAUAAUAUGAUGCACUUAAGUACGACUUAAAGGAUGACCUACGGUUGAGGUUCACUAGACAAGGCAAUUCGGGGCGGCACGGGGUCGAUGGCGGCUGCUCUAGCUGUCCGCCCACUGUACGCUCCCACGCCACCCCCUAAAGACACGGGUGACUCACAAAAGACCGUGUACGCUCAAACGUACUCCGAAAGACUUGUUGUAGAAAGAAGACCCAUGGUUAUGCAAAAUGAUGAUAAUUUAUAAAGCAGUAACACAUGAAGGAAAAACUAUAAACAAAUAAGUAGCUAGCAAAUAAUAAAAAGACAUAAACAAAAUAAAAACCAAAUAAAACAAACAAAAUACAUAAAGACCUCAACCGAAAAUCCUGUAAGCUAACAAGAUCAAAUAUUAGCUCGAACCCGCAACUCCGCAGCAGAGUCACCAGAGAUGUCACACCCCUUUAUUUUUUACACAAACUUCACUAAACCUUCUUAAAUAAAUAAAAGGAUUUUAAUAAAAGCUUGGAAAGGGUUUUUCAAUUGAAAAGUGAUAAAAAUUUGUUUCAAAAGGAUCAACUCAGAGUCGCCACCUGACAUUUGAUUUUGGUGUGCCAGGUCACCGGUUUUUAGAAAAUAUUUUUCCUUGUAAAACACUUGAACUCAAAACUAAGUCUGCACCAGAGAUUCAGGUAAGGGGGUUCAUUUGACUCGGGGAGAAGGUGUGAGGCACUGCCCAAGUCUCGUAACUAGUACGGUUGCGUACUCGAUCUAGUUGGCUUUUAAAAUAUUCAAGUUGAGGCAAUAAAAACACACAAAAGAAAGUAAACAAUCAAAAAGGUUCGAGGUCGUCCCCACCUAGUAAAAAACUUUAACAGAAAAAGAAAAAAAAUCCUAAACUAACAUAUACUACGACUUCUCCUGCAUGCUCAUCAAGGCCUCCAAAAUGUUUUGAUGGUUCUUUGGGUCAUACCCCGGAUAAUAAUAUUUACAAACUUCACGGGGCAUUCUCCGGAUGAAUUCAUCUACAGGACAACCUCUCACCUUACGUUCAAACAUUAUAAAUUAAACUAAAUCCUACGGGUUUGCCUACCCAAAUGUGGUCGGCUUAAGCAUGCUCCUAACAAACAAAAUAAUAAGAGCAAAAUAAAUAAAACUAAAGAAGUAAAAAUUAAUUUCAUGCUCACUCUCUUUUUAACAUUUCAUUUUUUAUUAGACCGAGCCAACACUUAAAGCAUGUGAAUAAAUUAAACACAAACGGGCUAAGUCUUUUCCCUUUUCCCACGGUCUAGUUCCAUUCCAUCCCAAAAAAUAAAAUACUUUAUAUACCGAACAUGACAAAAUGAGACACCUCAACAUACAGGGAUCCAAGCAUAAGAAAUGGGAACAGCAGUAACAGAAUUAAAAAGGUGAAUUAAAAUAUGGUACUGGCCAUCUUAUUUUUAUAUUCAAUUCAAAACUGACUUCUACGUGAGUGAGAAUUUAUUUUUUCUAAAAUCUUUAAUGGAUGUUGAAGAAGGAAAAUGAAAUCAAUUCCUCAUGGUAAAAAUACAACCAUUAGCUUAACAAACAGAUUAAAAUUUUAACACAUAAAGCCUUGCACCAAAUUUGAAUAAUUUUAUCACAAAUACAUUAUUCAAAACAGCAAAUAACUAUAGGAAAGGAACAAGAGAAGUGACCUUUAACUAAAUUUGAAAUUCAAAUGCCUAGAUCGCUUUGAAGCUCAUAAGCAACAAGAAAGCGAACAAGACCUCGGCAGGAGACAGACUGACGAACUCGAACACUCUUAUCGAUCAAGGAAAGAAACGGAAACUACUUUCAUAUAUAUAUUAGUUUUUUUUAAUAUUUUGGUUUAGUUCCAAAACAAGAUGAAGCAGAUCCUUUGUUUUUCAGUCACUGAAUGUUCCAUACAGGUCUGCGAGCAACAGAGAAAUGAAGCAGUAGCUCGUUUGGUGAACGUAAGGUCUGGUAGUCGUUGUAGGAGUGGAGUCGCGAUGGGGAUGGGUGGUCGACGGUAGUGGUUGGUUUGGUUUCUAUUGAGUGAUGGCUGAUGGUGUUCUCUCGUGUAUUAUGGUGCAAGAAGAAGAAGUUAAAUGGUGGGGUUGUUUUUCAUCGUUCAUAUGCGUGUCCCCUG